UACGUAGGGUGCGAGCGUUGUCCGGAAUUAUUGGCGUAAAGGGCUCGUAGGCGGUCUGUCACGUCGGGAGUGAAACACGGGGCUUAACCCCGUGCCUGCUUCCGAUACGGGCAGACUAGAGGUAUGCAGGGGAGAACGGAAUUCCUGGUGUAGCGGUGAAAUGCGCAGAUAUCAGGAGGAACACCGGUGGCGAAGGCGGUCUCUGGGCAUUACCUGACGCUGAGGAGCGAAAGUGUGGGAGGCGAACAGG
rnacentral:rRNA from 1 species